GAUGAACGCUGGCGGCGUGCCUAAUACAUGCAAGUCGAGCGAACAGACGAGGAGCUUGCUCCUCUGACGUUAGCGGCGGACGGGUGAGUAACACGUGGAUAACCUACCUAUAAGACUGGGAUAACUUCGGGAAACCGGAGCUAAUACCGGAUAAUAUAUUGAACCGCAUGGUUCAAUAGUGAAAGACGGUUUUGCUGUCACUUAUAGAUGGAUCCGCGCCGCAUUAGCUAGUUGGUAAAGUAACGGCUUACCAAGGCAACGAUGCGUAGCCGACCUGAGAGGGUGAUCGGCCACACUGGAACUGAGACACGGUCCAGACUCCUACGGGAGGCAGCAGUAGGGAAUCUUCCGCAAUGGGCGAAAGCCUGACGGAGCAACGCCGCGUGAGUGAUGAAGGUCUUCGGAUCGUAAAACUCUGUUAUUAGGGAAGAACAAAUGUGUAAGUAACUAUGCACGGCUUGACGGUACCUAAUCAGAAAGCCACGGCUAACUACGUG
rnacentral:rRNA from 1 species